CUACACACGUGCUACAAUGGCGCGUACAGAGGGCUGCAAGCUAGCGAUAGUGAGCGAAUCCCAAAAAGCGCGUCGUAGUCCGGAUCGGAGUCUGCAACUCGACUCCGUGAAGUCGGAAUCGCUAGUAAUCGCAAAUCAGAAUGUUGCGGUGAAUACGUUCCCGGGCCUUGUACACACCGCCCGUCACACCAUGGGAGUGGGUUGCACCAG
rnacentral:rRNA from 1 species